rnacentral:rRNA from 1 species
UAUGUCAGUAGUGAAAGCGUGUGGCUCAACCAUAUAUACAUUACUGAAACUGCUAAGCUAGAGGGCGAGAGAGGUAACUAGAAUUCCUUGUGUAGGAGUGGAAUCCGUAGAUAUAAGGAGGAAUACCGAUGGCGUAGGCAGGUUACUGGCUCGUCCCUGACACUAAGGCACGAAAGCGUGGGGAGCGAACCGGAUUAGAUACCCGGGUAGUCCACGCCGUAAACGAUGGAUACUA